CCUACGGGAGGCAGCAGUGAGGAAUAUUGGUCAAUGGACGAGAGUCUGAACCAGCCAAGUAGCGUGAAGGAUGACUGCCCUAUGGGUUGUAAACUUCUUUUAUAUGGGAAUAAAAUGUUCCACGUGUGGGAUUUUGUAUGUACCAUCUGAAUAAGGAUCGGCUAACUCCGUGCCAGCAGCCGCGGUAAUACGGAGGAUCCGAGCGUUUUCCGGCUUUAUUGGGUUUAAAGGGAGCGUAGGUGGAUUGUUAAGGCAGUUGUGAAAGUUUGCUGCUCAACCGUAAAAUUGCAGUUGAAACUGGCAGUCUUGAGUACAGUAGAGGUGGGCGGAAUUCGUGGUGUAGCGGUGAAAUGCAUAGAUAUCACGAAGAACUCCGAUUGCGAAGGCAGUUCACUGGACUGCAACUGACACUGAGGCUCAAAAGUGUGGGUAUCAAACAGGAUUAGAUACCCGUGUAGUC
rnacentral:rRNA from 1 species